GGAAGGAUUAGUAUAACUGAUUACGUAAGAUUGCAAGUCUUAGGAUUGAUUCUUCU
rnacentral:tRNA from 1 species